rnacentral:rRNA from 1 species
GGGCGAAGCCUGAUCCAGCCAUGCCGCGGUGUGGUGAAGAAGGUCUUCGGAUUGUAAAGCACUUUAAGCUUGGGAGGAAGGGCAUUAACCUAAUACGUUAGUGCUUUGACGUUACCGACAGAAUAAGCACCGGCUAACUCUGUGCCAGCAGCCGCGGUAAUAA